UCGAGGGGCAGCGGGAAUAGCAAUAUUUGCCGGCGACCGGCGCACGGGUGCGUAACACGUAUACAAUCUGCCCUCAACAGGGGGAUAGCCCGGAGAAAUCCGGAUUAAUACCCCAUAAUAGUAGAAGAGGCAUCUCUUUUAUUUGAAAGCUACGGCGGUUGAGGAUGAGUAUGCGUCUGAUUAGUUAGUUGGUGAGGUAAUGGCUCACCAAGACCACGAUCAGUAGGGGAUCUGAGAGGAUUAACCCCCACACGGAUACUGAGACACGGAUCCGACUCCUACGGGAGGCAGCAGUAGGGAAUAUUGGACAAUGGGUGAGAGCCUGAUCCAGCCAUGCCGCGUGCAGGAAGAAGGCGUUAUGCGUUGUAAACUGCUUUAGCCAGGGGAUAAAACGGCUCUGCGGAGCUAAUUGAAGGUACCUGGAUAAUAAGCCACGGCUAACUACGUGCCAGCAGCCGCGGUAAUACGUAGGUGGCAAGCGCUGUCCGGAUUUAUUGGGUUUAAAGGGUGCGUAGGCGGCCCUGUAAGUCAGUGCUGAAAUAUCCCGGCUUAACCGGGAGGGUGGCAUUGAUACUGCAGGGCUUGAGUACAGAUGAAGUAGGCGGAAUUGACGGUGUAGCGGUGAAAUGCAUAGAUAUCGUCAAGAACACCGAUAGCGAAGGCAGCUUACUAAGCUGUAACUGACGCUGAGGCACGAAAGUGUGGGGAUCAAACAGGAUUAGAUACCCUGGUAGUCCACACUGUAAACGUUGAUGACUCGAUGUUGGCGAUACACAGCCAGCGUCCAAGAGCAAUCGUUAAGUCAUCCAY
rnacentral:rRNA from 1 species